rnacentral:rRNA from 1 species
CGAAGGAUGCAAGCGUUAUCCGGAUUCAUUGGGUUUAAAGGGAGCGUAGGUGGCCUUAUAAGUCAGUGGUGAAAUCUCUGGGCUUAACCCAGAAAUUGCCAUUGAUACUGUAGGGCUUGAGUACAGUUGCUGUGGGCGGAAUAUGACAUGUAGUGGUGAAAUACAUAGAGAUGUCAUAGAACACCGAUUGCGAAGGCAGCUCACAAAACUGUAACUGACACUGAGGCUCGAAAGUGCGGGGAUCAAACAGGAUUAGAUACCCUGGUAGUCCGCACUGUAAACGAUGAUUACUCGCUGCUCGAGGGCAACUUUUAGUGGCUUAGCGAAAGCGAUAAGUAAUCCACCUGGGGAGUACGCCGGCAACGGUG